GAAAAUUCACAAAAUUUCAAAGAAUCAAGUGACAAAAGUGAAUAAUCCUCCGAUAAGGGCAAAGAAAUUGUACCCGAGGAUCGAUAGUCGGAGUACUCUAAAAAUUAGACUCCCAAAACACUUGUUGCAGUGGGCGGGUUCUGUGGACCAGCCUAUUAGAUGGGCACGAAAUUUGGUUAUACAGGUACCUCGGUCAAAGAGGCGCGUAAGGUAUCUCCUGAGGUAUGGUUAGAGUUCACAUCAUGCCGAACCACCUCGUGAUGAUGAACUCCGAAAC